UUGUUACAACUAGUGCGACUUUU
rnacentral:siRNA from 1 species